rnacentral:lncRNA from 1 species
UCACUGACAUGCCAUAGUUUUGGUUCCAGGAAUAAGGUCCGAUUCGAGAUAGAAUAGCACGCUCUCGGACAUUCAACCAAGCUUUUUAUGGAACAAAUCGCUUUCUGGGGAAGUCCAAAAAGAAGGACGCGAGGUGUCGUUUGGGACAAUUCUAUGCGAGGAGGAAACCACCAAACGAUCGCAGCAGAAGGACUAGUACCAUACUUUCUUCGCGUUUAAGUUGCCUGAAAACUCCAGGAUCUCUUUGAUCCUCUGAGGUGUCUUCGCUUGUCCAAGAAUCUCCAGGACUUGAAUAAAAAAACCUCUGGGCCAUGGUAGCAGUGCGGUAAAUACAUUGAGAUCGAUCACGAUUUUCUUGCUGCUGGCCAAGG